rnacentral:rRNA from 1 species
GUGGGGAAUCUUCCGCAAUGGACGAAAGUCUGACGGAGCAACGCCGCGUGAGUGAAGAAGGUUUUCGGAUCGUAAAGCUCUUUCGUUAGGGACGAACGUGCUCUUUGUGAAUAAUGAGGAGUAAUGACGGUACCUAAAUAAGAAGCCACGGCUAACUACGUGCCAGCAGCCGCGGUAAUACGUAGGUGGCAAGCGUUGUCCGGAAUUAUUGGGCGUAAAGCGCGCGCAGGCGGGAUAUCAAGUCUGUCUUAAAAGUGCGAGGCUCAACCUCGUGAGGGGACAGAAACUGGUAUUCUUGAGUGUCGGAGAGGAAAGUGGAAUUCCAAGUGUAGCGGUGAAAUGCGUAGAGAGUUGGAAGAACACCAGUGGCGAAGGCGACUUUCUGGACGAUGUCUGACGCUGAGGCGCGAAAGCUAGGGGAGCGAACGGGAUUAGAAACCCGUGUAGUCC